rnacentral:rRNA from 1 species
GACAUAGGUGGCGAACGUUAUCCAGAUUUAUUGGGCGUAAAGGGCGCGCAGGCGGUCGUUCAAGUCGCGUGUGAAAGCCCCCGGCUCAACUGGGGAGGGUCACGCGAUACUGAUCGACUCGAAGGCAGGAGAGGGUAGUGGAAUUCCCGGUGUAGUGGUGAAAUGCGUAGAUAUCAGGAGGAAUACCGAUGGCGAAGGCAGGUCUCUGGGCUAUAACUGACGCUCAUGCACGAAAGCGUGGGGAGCAAACAGG